UUGUCAGCUGCCAGACUGACACCCGGAAUACUCCUCAUACCGGAAGUGGGUGAUAUAGCGGAGAGAUGAGCGGGGAUGAGGAGCCUGCCGGGCUAUUUGACAACGAAGACACCGAGGCCGGAGAGGAGGGACCAGGCGGCGACCUGAAGGGGGCGGAAGUGAUGCCGGGGGAAGAAUCUCUGUUAAAGAAAUAUGAGAUCAGCGUCUCAGAAGCCGAGAAGCGGACCGGGAAAAAUGCGGUGAACAUGCAGGAGACGUACACUGCGUACCUGAUAGAGACCAGGUUGCUGGACGCUCACAAUGAGGGACACAGUUCGCUGGAUUGUCUGUGGAGGAGAUACAGCGAGUUCGAGCUGCUGCGCAAUUACCUGUCUGUCACGUAUCCAUUCAUUGUCGUCCCACCAUUGCCGGAGAAAAGGGCAGAGUUCGUGUGGCACAAGCUCUCGGCUGAUAACAUGGAUCCUGACUUUGUGGAGAGGAGGAGGAUCGGACUGGAGAACUUUCUUCUGCGCGUGGCUUCUCACCCCGUCCUGUGUAACGACAAGAUCUUCAAUACCUUUCUUAAACAGGAAAAUGGAUGGAAGGAGAUGCUGAACGAGGCAGGACUGCAGGUAAAGACAGACUCCAGGCUGAAGGCACUAAAUGCAACUUUCCGUGUCAAAAACCCAGACAAGCGCUUCACAGAGCUGAAACACUACAGCGAUGAGCUGCAGUCCACAAUCUCUCACCUCCUGCGUGUCCGUGCGAGAGUGGCCGACCGGCUGUAUGGUGUCUACAAAGUGCAUGGGAAUUAUGGACGAGUUUUUAGUGAAUGGAGUGCCAUAGAAAAGGAGAUGGGAGAUGGUCUGCAGAGCGCCGGACAUCACAUGGACGUGUAUGCAGCGUCCAUUGAUGACAUCCUGGAGGAGGAGGAACACUAUGCCGAUCAGCUGAAAGAAUAUUUAUUCUAUUCUGAAGCUCUAAGAGCCGUCUGCAGGAAACAUGAGCUGAUGCAGUACGACUUAGAAAUGUCGGCGCUGGAUCUGGCCUCUAAAAAGCAGCAGUGUGAGGAGCUGUCCACCGGGACUGUGAAAACUUUUUCGAUAAAGGGAAUGACCAGCAAACUGUUUGGUCAGGAGACUCCGGAGCAGAGAGAAGCCAAAAUAAAGCUGCUGGAAGAACAGAUAGAAGAGGGACAGGAGCAGCUGAAGGUGCAGAACGUAGAGAGCAGGGACUUUGUGCAGAACGCUUGGUUGGAGAUUGAACGUUUUAAGGAUCAGAAGAAUCGGGACCUGAAGGAGGCUCUGAUCAAUUACGCCGUCAUGCAGAUCAGUAUGUGCAAGAAGGGCAUCCAGGUCUGGACUAACGCUAAGGAAUGUUUCAGCAAGAUGUGACCCCUGGAGCCCAUUGUGUCCGCACGUCCGGGCACUGAAGCUGCAGCCUAAUCUUCUGGGAAUUUGGACGUCCUCUGCCUCAACCGUGAAAAUCUUGGAGACUUUCAUUGUCGUUUUGUUUUUUAACUGGAAUAUCUGACAUGGAGUUGUUCUAGUAGCCGGGUGCAGAGGACGGCAUCGGCCUUCACCUUGGCUGUCUGUGACGUCUCGGUGCCAACAGAUCCGCUACAGAACUCUUUCUUAUUCCUCUACCUUCAGCCGUCACUUUUCAGGCCCGUUGUCUGCACUUUGGCUUGAAGGAAUGACCUGUUCCCCCGGAGCAUGUGCAAUCAAAGGGUCAGUAGUCACUUUGUGCCUUAGUGAUGUCACUAGGGGGAGUAGAUCAGCCCCUGUACCCACCGCCUUCAUGUGGGGGCUUGUAAGGGAUCCCAUUAUUUUUAGAGAUUCUAAAAACUGCAGCUUAAGAUUCCAAAUAUCACAUUUUGGCUUUUCUAUAACCUUGUCCCUUACAUGCAGGAACCCGAUCGCUAUUUAUAAUGGUGCCGUCUGCUGAAAGAGCUUUUGCUGCAGCUGACUUUCAAUUUAAUUUCUUCACCAUUUUCAAGAUCUCUGCUUGCUCCCACUGAAGGAUUAAGAUUUUUUAAUAGAAGUAAUUUACAAAUCUGUUCAACUUUCUGGCACCAGUUAAUUUAAAAUUUAGUUUGCCACCAGAGUACCCCUUUAAUGAUAAGAACUCUGUAAAUUAAGUAUUAGGCUGCUUUCAAAUGCGUCAGUAAAAGCCUGCAGCUGCUGCGCAUGUUUAGAGAUCACAACCGGCACCUGAGGUUGCCUUUUUUAAUAGCGGCAGGUCCAGGCAGCGGCUGCUAUUAUCAAGAGACAGAUAGUCAUUAGUGCCAGAGAUUGUAAUUACAGCCGCUACCUGGACUUGGCAGCUGCGUCCAUUUAGUCGUACACAUGCAGUGCCAACAUUAAUCGCUUUGCUGACAACUGGAGCAGCGGGCCCUGUUCACUUUAAAGGGGUACUCCAGUGGAAAACUUUUUAUUUAUUUUUUUUAAAUCAACUGGUGCCAGAAAAACAGAUUUGUAGAU